GACGAACGCUGGCGGCGUGCUUAACACAUGCAAGUCGAACGAAGUGGCGAACGGGUGAGUAACGCGUAAUCAACCUGCCCUUCAGAGGGGGACAACAGUUGGAAACGACUGCUAAUACCGCAUACGGAAGGAGGGGAUUGCGGCUGAUUAGCUGGGUGGAGGGGUAACGGCCCACAAAGGCGAUGAUCCGUAGCCGGUCUGAGCUGAUGCACGGCCACAGUGGGACUGAGACACGGCCCAGACUUCUACGGGAGGCAGCAGUGGGGAAUCUUCCGCAAUGGACGAAAGUCUGACGGAGCAACGCCGCGGGAGUGAUGACGGCCUUCGGGUUGUAAAGCUCUGUUAAUCGGGACGCGGUACCGGAAUAGAAAGCCACGGCUAACUACGUGCCAGCAGCCGCGGUAAUUC
rnacentral:rRNA from 1 species